UUAAGCAUAUCAAUAAGCGGAGGAAAAGAAACCAACAGGGAUUGCCUCAGUAACGGCGAGUGAAGCGGCAAGAGCUCAAAUUUUAAAUCUGCCUUUUAGGCCGAGUUGUAAUUUGUAGAGGAACGUUCGGUGACGUCUAGGUCCGAGUCUUCUGGAAGGAAGCGCCGAUGAGGGUGAGAGCCCCGUACGACCGACGACUUAGCCAUGUGAACGUCCUUCGAAGAGUCGAGUUGUUUGGGAAUGCAGCUCAAAGCGGGUGGUAAAUUCCAUCUAAAGCUAAAUAUUGGCCAGAGACCGAUAGCGCACAAGUAGAGUGAUCGAAAGAUGAAAAGCACUUUGGAAAGAGAGUGAAAAAGUACGUGAAAUUGUUGAAAGGGAAGCGCUCGCGACCAGACUUGAUCGUUCAGUUCAAGGGUUCUUUUGGACCUGGUAUUUCUGUCUGAUCAGGCCAACAUCAGUUCGGACGGUUGGAUAAAAGCUUUGGGAACGUGGCUCUUCGGAGUGUUAUAGCCCUUUGCACAAUACAGCCAGACCGGACUGAGGAAUGCCUUUUGUAGGAUGUUGGCGUAAUGGUUGCCAGCGGCCCGUCUUGAAACACGGACCAAGGAGUCUAACAUCCAUGCGAGUGUUUGGGUGGAAAACCCGCACGCGAAAUGAAAGUGAACGGAGGUGGGAGCUUCGGCGCACCAUCGACCGAUCCUGAUGUCCUCGGAAGGAUUUGAGUACGAGCAUGGCUGUUGGGACCCGAAAGAUGAUGAACUAUGCGUGAAUAGGGCGAAGCCAGAGGAAACUCUGGUGGAGGCUCGCAGCGGUUCUGACGUGCAAAUCGAUCGUCAAAUUUGCGUAUAGGGGCGAAAGACUUAUCGAAUCAUCUAGUAGCUGGUUCCUGCCGAAGU
rnacentral:rRNA from 1 species